rnacentral:lncRNA from 1 species
UCAAAUCAAAUCCCUCUUUCUCUCUUUGUUUUUCUUUUUAUCUAUAGAUCUGUUUGAUUUUUUGGAAGUAUAAAGUAUAAGUCCAGUUUCAUUUUCCGUUUGUUUCCCGAGAAACCUUGGGAAAAUACAUAAAACAGACAAAAGAAAAGAUUUUUCAAUCUGGGUAUUUUCUGUAAUUUCAUUUUGUGAGGAAAAAAUCUUCACUUGGUUUGCCUUAAGCUGAUUGUAUUUUUUUUGUUUUUCAAAUUUUGUUUUUGGUGACUAGACGACGGCGUUUCGGGUAAUUGAUUCGUGAAAACGGAAAAAAAAUGAACCGCUGCGCCGCUAUGGGAUUGGGAGGAGUCUGUGAUGAAGAGAGGAGGAUGGGUUCAAUGAUUUGCCCUAAGCCAAGGAGAUUA